rnacentral:lncRNA from 10 species
CUAGCAGUGGCAACCUGCUCGGGUCCCCUGCCACACUAUGGAAGCUUUGUUCUUUUGCUCUUUGCAAUAAAUCUUGCUACUGCUUACUCUUUGGGUCCACACUGCCUUCAUGAGCUGUAACACUCACCGGGAAGGUCUGCAACUUCACUCCUGAGCCAGCGAGACCACGAGCCCACUGGAAGGAACAAACUCCCGCACGCCGCCUUUAAGAACUGUAACACUCACAGAGAGGGCCCGCGGCUUCAUUCCCGAAGUCAGUGAGACCAAGAACCAACCAAUUCCGGGCACGUUUCUUUUUCUGCAUCCGCUGCUCUGUUAAGUGAUCACCACAUUCAUUGUUCUCGUUUCUAUUAUUUCUGAAAAAAAUCUUCAGGAUUCUGCUUGUGGGAGUGGAUGACAUUUUUACAGUGUUUACAGACACAAAAUGAACAAGAUGUCUGUGGCAACCCUCAGACCAUUGACGCCUUCUCUCCUAUGUAUCAAAUCACACAUUUGGACGUUGACUGAACCCUCACAUGUCAGAUGCUCAAUAUUGAGGUAUAGUAAAAGGGAGCAUGAACUUGAGAAAAUACGCUUUCAACACAAAGCUGUAAUAAUAUAAGGUCAAAUAAGAUUCUGCAUUGGAGAUAGAAAACUCUGAAGGAAGCUUUAUCUAUUCCAGAAUGUCAUAUAGCUGGUAUAAGGUUGUCUUCAUUCAUUUCCACAGUUUCUCUGGAGGUUCCAACAAGAUACGGUCUCCAUUGCCCAUUGCUCUGGACCCCAGCCAUCACCCAGUGCAGCAGUGAUGCCUUAUGACAAGUCAGCACCUGGUCUGAACUCUGCUCUCUUUGCACUGAAUUCUUUGAGUUUUUAUUCCAAGUUCAGUCAUUGGUUUUAGUAUUGGUUCCCAUCUGCUUGGCAUCCUUGGUGGAAUUGGGCUUCUUUUUUCAAUUUCUUUUUGCUGUCUUUUUGUUUUACUGUGUUGAGUAGUGCUAUCUAAAUGUGUUUAUCAUAAAAGAAGCAGCACAUGAUCAUAGGCCCAUGAGCCUGUUUUUCAAGCCAGCCAAACAGCACAUUUAGUUUGACAUUCACACUGGACCUCUGUCCAUUUUUAUAAACUUCGCUUUGGGUCAUCAAUAAAACUAAAUGAAGUUCUCUCUUG